CACAUUAUUUCGGGGAUCAUGCAGCAGGCACGGCAGCCCUUUCUGGUUUUAGUGGCGUCCUCCCCGCGACAAGUCUCCGGCGUCCACUUUUCGCGUCACCGUCGGGCCACUCGUGGAACCAGGAAUGCGCACCCUCGCAGGCGACGUGUCCGCGCUCAGCAUUCGUGUCACGCAGUUCCCCGAAUGAACGGAGGGAGCGAGAGAGAAGUAGAGCACGGUCAAUUCUGCGAUCACGUGACGCACGUGUCUACUCUCGGGUCCAGUGUGGCAUAACUCACGCGCCGCCAUUCGUGGACCCACCCCGCGCGGUAAGGCCUCUGCGGGCGCUCUAUAAAUAAUCGGUGAGGCCUUUGUGUCGCUUUUCCUUUGUGGCGUUCGCGACGACGUUGAUGUUGCCCUGACGCGUAUUUAUGUUAGGCGCCGGAGAUGUCACGGUCUUCGUCUCGGUCGGCGUUGGCAGCGUGGGACACUCGCUUCCAGCGGCGAAACGUGAGAGAAGAAUCAGCCUUUCGAAUCCGCGCGGUGACGGAGGAUCCUCUUCUACCGCCGCGUACGACGUCGUGAUUGCUCGGCUGGUCGAGAGGGCUAUACUCGGUCUCGCCUUACGAUGGAAUGCAGCGGACUCUACGAGCCAAUCCAGGCCAAUCCAGCGCUGCGAACGUACCACGACGACUGGUCCCGCGCGUCGCUUCGGCCCUGCCCACCUGAA